UCAACUUUCAUAUAUAGUUAAAUGAAUAAGAAAAAUAAACAACAUAAUAUAAUUUUUCUACAAUUUUACUGCAAUAUAAUGUAUGUCAUGUCUUCUUUCUCUUCUUCUUCGAGUUUCAAUUUGAAAUUUAGUCAAAUUCAAGUCUAAUCUUCAUCGAAACCCCUCAAAAUUGAGAUAUAAACUCCAAACCAUAUUUUCAAUUAUUUGCAACAAUUCCAUAUCCAAACAAAUAAUGAUUUUCAAUAACCCAAAUUCGAAUUCAAAGCUUUUUAACGGCUGUCAAUUGUGGAAUUGAUGAUCUCUUUUCUUUGCUUUAUAUUAGUGAAAUUUGGGAUUGAGAGAUAGAGAGAGACGUAGAGAGAAUUCUCAAUUCUUUGCAACAAUAUCCAAUCCAAUCAAACAAUGUCUUUUGAAAAUCCAAAUUCGAAUUGAAAACUUCAAAGCUUUUUUCUCACUCUUUUGGUGGUUUGUCAAUUUGAAUCUGUUUUUUUUAUGCUACCGAAAGAAAAGAAGCCAAGAGAUCCGAUCAGAAGAUAAAGAAGAUAGACGAGAAGAUAAGGGGAAAGGACUUAAUGGUUGUCAAUGGUGGAGAUA
rnacentral:lncRNA from 1 species